AGUCCAGGGAACUGAAUUCAAAAUCCGAGGUGCCAGCUAACUGAUGCAGAGAGGAAAAACAAAAGCACAAGUCAUCAAGCCGGACUGAGGUGCUGGACCAUCACAUUUGAUGACAGCGACAGAAUUACUUAAGUGCAUUGGACACCUUGUUCUGUGGAGCCACACACAGGGACUUGAUUUUACGGGUCGUCAACUCAAGAGCCCACCCUUUUGCAAUAGGGUGCAAUGAUCUUAUUAA
rnacentral:lncRNA from 1 species